AGUGGGGUGUCCGAGUGGUUUAAGGUACCAGUCUUGAAAACUGGCGUGCGGUAGUCCCGUACCGUGGGUUCGAAUCCCACCCCCACUG
rnacentral:tRNA from 1 species